AACUAUAAGCUAAUAAAUAAAUAUUUUCCUCCAAAUUUCCUCAAAAAUAUAUUAAAUAUCCAAACGAAUGACCAUGAUAAUUGCAAUUACAUAUAUAAUAAGAACCAUCGCAAUAAAUGAACAAAUAAAAUAAACAGGCAACCAAUCGAAAAUGGUUGUGGUAUUUUAAUUAUGCGCUAAAGGACUCUCCUUACAAUAGUUAAUAUUUAUUUCCAGUGGACCUUUAUUGGGAAAAGUUGUCUUCCAGCUGAGGAGCUCCGCACCUAUACAAGAUUCUACAAUGGCGAGGGUCUCUAUAAAAACUGAGGGCGUGCUGCAGCGAUGUCCUAAGCAGGUUGUGGACCAAGGCCAAUGGCUACUUAAUUUGUACUUGAAGCUGCCUAUGUUGCGUCGACUGAUGCACAUCAACGGAGUCGCUAGAGCUGUUUCAGGUGUCGCCGAAUAUCUUGCACAUGUAGAACGCCGGACUCUUAUACCCUACGUUUUGCCACAAGCCGAGUCGUAUCCGAUUUCCCCCCGCCAGACGGAGUCCUAUCCAAACAUUACCGAGGCGUAUUCGAGACAGACCGAGUCCCAUCCCAGCCAGACUGAAUUGUGUUCCAGCAGGACAGAAGCGCACCCCUUACCCGAUUUGAACCCGGCCAUUUGACGCGAGUUUUUUUUGUACGGUGGCGCCCCAAUCGGCCCGUGCGACGGCUUCCUGUGAUCGGAAAAAUAUCCCUGAUUUGCUGGAGUCCUUAUCAAGGACCAAGGAACAAGGAAAUGUACUCCAGGCGUAUAAAUAUUGUUCUUGCCGUUAUUUUAGGCUCGAUCGGGACCUGCCAGGAACCCACGUGCUCAGAUAAAUAUCCUUGAUCCUUCGGUAAGGACAUCAACCGCCCCAACCAUACAUAUUUAUUUUUCCCGGCUUUUUGUGGCCCGAUCGGGACAUGCGUCAUCUUACUGUGUUUGGAACAGCACCCUUGAUCUAAUGCAGUCCGUAUCAAGGACCAAGGAUCAAGGAUAUUGUCCCCAGACCUAUAUAUCUUGUUUUCUCCUUUAUUUGUGGCCUGAUCGGGGAGUGCCACGGCUUCCCGUGAUCAGAUAUAUGUCCUUGAUUCUUUGAUAAGGACCUCAGCCAUACAUAUUUAGAUCUCGGCUAUUUGUGGACCGAUCUGGGCGUGCGAUGGCUUCCUGUGAUCGGAAAAGUG
rnacentral:misc_RNA from 1 species